UACGAAGGGUGCAAGCGUUACUCGGAAUUACUGGGCGUAAAGCGUGCGAAGGUGGUUUGUUAAGUCUGUUGUGAAAGCCCCUGGCUCAACCGGGGAGGGUCAUUCGAUACUGCUCGACUCGAAGGCAGGAGAGGGAAGCGGAAUUCCCGGUGUAGUGGUGAAAUGCGUAGAUAUCGGGAGGAACACCAGUGGCGAAGGCGGCUUUCUGGCCUGUUCUUGACGCUGAGGCGCGAAAGCGUGGGGAGCAAACAGG
rnacentral:rRNA from 1 species